rnacentral:rRNA from 1 species
GGCAUCAUUUGACGUUAGCAACAGAAGAAGCACCGGCUAACUCCGUGCCAGCAGCCGCGGUAAUACGGAGGGUGCGAGCGUUAAUCGGAAUUACGUGGGACGUAAAGCGCAUGCAGGUGGUUUGUUAAGUCAGAUGUAGAAACGGCCCGGGGCUACAACCUACGGAAUUGCUAUUUAGAAACUGGCAGACUAGAGUACUGUAGAGGGGGUAGAAUUUCAGGUGUAGCGGUGAAAUGCGUAGAGAUCUGAAGGAAUACCGGUGGCGAAGGCGGCCCCCUGGACAGAUACUGACACUCAGAUGCGAAAGCGUGGGGAGCAAACAGGAUUAGAUACCCUGGUAG